UCGAGAAUUUUUCUCAAUGGGCGAAAGCCUGAAGGAGCGACGCCGCGUGGGGGAUGAAUGGCUUCGGCCCGUAAACCCCUGUCAUUUGCGAACAAACCUUUCCAGUUAAUAGUUGGAAAGCUGAUUGUAGCGAAAGAGGAAGGGACGGCUAACUCUGUGCCAGCAGCCGCGGUAAUACAGAGGUCCCAAGCGUUGUUCGGAUUCACUGGGCGUAAAGGGUGCGUAGGUGGUCGGGUAAGUCUGAUGUGAAAUCUCCGAGCUUAACUCGGAAAUGGCAUUGGAUACUAUUCGGCUAGAGGGUUUGAGGGGGGACUGGAAUACUUGGUGUAGCAGUGAAAUGCGUAGAUAUCAAGUGGAACACCAGUGGCGAAGGCGAGUCCCUGGAAAACUCCUGACACUGAGGCACGAAAGCUAGGGGAGCAAA
rnacentral:rRNA from 1 species